GAUGAACGCUGGCGGCGUGCCUAAUACAUGCAAGUCGAGCGAAGCGGGGACGGGUGAGUAACACGUGGAUAACCUCCUAUAAGACUGGGAUAACUUCGGGAAACCGGAGCUAAACCGGAUAAUUAUAGAUGGUUCCGCGCUGCAUUAGCUAGUGGGUAAGGUAACGGCUUACCAAGGCAACGAUGCAUAGCCGACCUGAGAGGGGGACCGGCAACACUGGAACUGAGACACGGGCCAGACGCCUACGGGAGGCAGCAGUAGGGAAUGUUGCGGAAUGGGCGAAAGCCUGACGGAGCAACGCAGCGUGAGUGAUGAAGGUCUGCGGAUCGUAAAACUCUGUGAUUAGGGAAGCGGUACCUAAUCAGAAAGCCACGGCUAACUACGUGCCAGCAGCCGCGGUAAUAC
rnacentral:rRNA from 1 species